UCUCGAUGAUGAUAAAAAAGCACGCUGAGCAAAAUGUAGUUGGUCCUUCAUUUGCAUUAGCUGAUGUUUACUGUCCUUUUCAAGACGGGGCUGAGAGAAGC
rnacentral:snoRNA from 1 species